UUAGUGGGCUAGGGUUUAGGCUUCUAGAAUGCCUUGCAAGGCAAGGAAAUCAGAAAUUUUAAAGGCCUAGGUGCGGCAAAUUAGUGGGCUAGGGUUAGGGUUUGUAGAUAGGGCUUCUAGAAAGCCCAAAACCAAGAAUAGAAACUCUCGAAAACGGAAACCUCCAAGAAUAGAAACUUCCAACUUUAGAAACUUUGGUUUCUAAUUCUGAAUUCUUUGUUCUUCACAUUCAUUUCUUCAUUUCUUAAGCUCCUUUGCCCUUCAAACUCGUCCAUUCCUUGUGCUCCAAGCAUGUACUUUCCAAUCUAAGCUCCAUUUUGCUCCAAAAGGCUCCAAUUUGCAUCCUUUUAUGUCAUAUGCCCUUUAAGCCUGAAAACACAUGAAAGUAGCUCAAAAGACUACUUUAACGACGAAAACAUAACGAAAAUGCAUAAGAACUAGCUAACUAAGGCGCAUAAAUAUGCUCCUAUCAAAUUCCCCCACACUUAGCUUUUGCUAGUCCUCGAGCAAAACAAAGAAACAAAAGAAAAACAAAACGAAACAAAACAACCAAAAAUAACCUAAACCUUCCAACGUUUGCCUCAGGGAUUUCCAAUGCACAUGACAUAUUAAAAAUCAUCAUUCCCACAGAUUUUAGCCAUCUUUACACUUAAGCACAUACUUAAUUAUAGUUACCACGUACUAAUUCGCAUUUAACCAAGUAAAACAUGAUUUUGAAUGUAGUAACAUGCCUUAGAGAAUUUGCUCAAUUCCUCACUAGAUAUGCACUCAAUUUUCACACAGAUUUUCUGACUACACACCCUAUACUAGUUAUAUGUGAGAAGAUUGAUGUAAAUAUGAAAACGAAUGCUCACAUAUGUUACAACAAGGAAAGCUUUUUCUGAGUUUAAUAAGCAUGUAUAUGAUCUCAUGAAAGGAAUGCUACUACUUAGACGCGAGAACCAGUGACACCAUAUGCUCAUACCAAUCCCAAACUCCACAAAUUGAAAUACACAACACUCAAGAUAGAAGUUAAGGGUUGUAACGGGGCUUGGGGUAUUGGCUAACAAAGAAAGGUGAAGGGUAAACAAACGUUCUUAAAACAAUAGUAAGCAAAGCAAUGAAAUUGACACUUAGAAUUCACUUUUGGGUGAAAAAAUCACUUUUUAAGCUCAAAGGGAAAAUUCAUGCAACACUUAGGGUCAAAGUCAAUGUUUUGGACCCCUUCUUCAACAACCAACACCUUAGAGCUCAUUUUCAUGCUCUUUUACUCUUUUUCACACUUUUCACAAACAUCUUUCUUUGUUUUUUUUUUUUCUUUUUUUUUCUACGAAUUUCUUUUUCUUUUCUUUUUUUCUUUUCUCGUGCCUCAUUUAAGACUUUGGUACAUACUACACAAGGCUCACAUUCCCCCACACUUGUUUUCUGCACACCCUCAAUCAAAAGGAAUUCAUUUUAAGUCAUGCUUAUUAUGCUUUAAGAACAAGGGUAUAGAUGGUCCUAAUCUAGGCUAGGUAAGGAUAAUGUGGGUUAACAAACAAUAUAGGCUAAACAAGGCUCAACGGGGCUAAAACCUACAAAAACAAAUGUAUGGAAUGAAGGCUUUUUGGCUAUGGUGGUAACUACUAAACAACUUCAUCUUGAAUACGUGUUAUGCAAUUCAAUGAAAUGUUUUGAAUGAAAUUGGCAUGAGUUCUAGCAUUUGGAACUAAAGUGAUGAAACGCAUUCUAAGUAACAACCAAGCAAAGAAUAAUGAGAUCAUGCAACGACUUUAGAAAACAAGAAUGCACAGAUUUUAACUCUCCAAAUAAAGUUUAGGCUCAAAUCUCUCAGGGAUGUAACGUUAGUUUGAGUUCCUUCCUUCAAGCAUGUUACAAAAACUAAUUUUUUUUCCUUUAUGAUUACAUGUGAAUUCAUAAGUUAUAACCACAACCAAGCAUAAACCAAGAGUAAAUCAAACUUUCAUCCAUGUUUAUAACUCUCUUUAACAGUCAUGCAAUUAAAAACCGAAUCCUCAUCAUUGUGUUGGAAGGUACCCUAAGACACAAACAACCACACAAAAACAACUCUUUUUGGGUUUUUUUAAAACAAAUUUUCAAAUUUUUAUGGGAUUUUCGGAUUUUUGAAUCAAAACACAUUAAAACACACCAAAACAGCUUAAAAACACCUAAAAACAGCAAGAAACAACAUUGGGAAGUAUGAGUGAGAAAACCCUACGAAUUUGCAUCAAAACACUUUGGUUACCCCCCCACACUUAAACCAAACAUUGUCCUCAAUGUUUCAAGCAUAGACUCACACAAAAACACAUAAACAAAACAAACAAACACUAAACAACCGAACAUGGCAGAAACGAAAUAAACAACAAAGAGAAGGGUUUAGGAACGCAAAUCUGGAAUUGGAGUGCUCUCUAGGUCUUCCUUUGUCGAAUGCAUGGGUUGCCUCCCAAGAAGCGCUUGCUUUAACGUCUUCCAGCCGGACGGUACCUCCGUUUAAGCUUGACUAUGUUCAAUUGCAUGGAGGGGUACAUCCUCCAUGACAUGCUCCUUGAAAUACUCAUGCAUUGGGUCUAUGUAUGGCAGUGGAUAAUGAUGGUCCCAGAUUGUGGCAUUGAGCUUCCCAAGGUCAAAGUAAAAACUCCCAUAAUCAUGGAUUCGAUUUGGUACCUGCACCACAGAAGGCAAUAACCUAUUAGUGGAAACGGGAAUUGGAAUUAGAGGAGGAGGCUUACCAAUGCAUGUAGAUGAAGACUCAAAAGGGGCAGCAAAGGUGGUGCUCUCGGCCAGAUUUGGUAUUUUGGGUGUAAUGACAUGUUUCGUAUGCUUCACUCCAAUACCCUCUUUGAUGAUGCAUCUAGGGACAUCCUUCUUGAUUGGUGCGCAUGAAUGUUCCUUCCCCACAUUUUUAAUCACAUCUAUUGCAAAACAAAGAACGAACAUCAUUAGGAUUCUUAACAUAUUCAGGAACUUUGAAUUUAAUCAAUUCAUCACCAAACUCCAUUGUUAACUCUCCCUUAGCCACAUCAAUCUUGGUUUGGGCUGUCUUCAUGAAGGGCCUCCCUAAUAGUAUCGGCAAUGGGGUAGAAUAGGGUGAAUCCUCCAUAUCAAGCACGUAAAAGUCCGCUGGAAAAAUCAAAUUGCCCACCUGCACCAAAACAUCUUCCAAAACACCCUUUGGAUAUGCAUUAGAACGAUCGGCUAAUUGAAUAAUCACACCAUCGUUUUUAAGCUCACCUAAGUUCAUAGAUGCAUAAAUAGAGUAUGGCAUAACAUUAAUCGAAGCCCCUAAGUCUAACAUGCAUUGUUCAAACUUAGUCUUGCCAAUAACGCACGGAAUUGUAAAACUACCCGGAUCUUUGCAUUUAGGGGGUAAUUUCCUUUGUAACAUGGCAGAAACAUUCUCACUUACUUGGACCACCUCUUUGUUCGAAAUCCUUCUCCUUGAUGUACAAAGUUCUUUUAAAAACUUAGCAUACCUCGGGACUUGCUUAAUUGCAUCAAGGAGCGGAAUAUUGACUUGAACUUUUCGAAAGGUCUCUAGAAUGUCCUUCUCGGCUUCUUCCUUCUUUGAUUGCCUAAACCUGCCAGGAAAGGGCACAUUCAGUGGAAUAGAACUAGAAAAAGUCGAAUUUGGACUUACCUUGGUGGUUGAGGACGACUUAGGAGGGUUAGAGGGUGGCGGCAUGGAUUGGUCAUCCUUGGCCGUGGGUUUUGCUUUUUGUGCCUCCUCUUGCAUCAACUUGUCCUCCUCGUCUUGACUUGAUUUGGAUGUAUUUGAGUCCGCUCCAACCUGUGUACCACUUCUCAACAUGAUUGCAUUGACGGUUUCAAAGCCUCCUUUCGGGUUCACAACGGUUGAACUAGGCAAUCUGCCUUGUUCUCUAAUUUGCCCCAUAAACUCUGCAAUUUGACCCAUCUGCUUCUCCAAGUUGUCCACCCGUUUGUCUUGGAUUUGUCUCUCCUUAUUUUGAGUUUGUACUUCCUGCGUCAAAGUAGUAAGUAACUUAACAACUUGAUCAUUAUCCAAAGACGUACCUGAGGUUGGUGGGGCGGUUUGCACUUGGUUUUGAUUGGGGACGAAUGGCUUUGUAUAAAAGCCCGGUGGUUGUUGCCUAAAUCCUCCUUGUUGUUGGGGUUGUUGAGGAUCCCGCCAUUUGAAAUUCGGAUGGUCCCUCCACCCCGGAUUGUAGGAAUUAGAGUAUGGAUCAUGGCGUGGUUGAUUUUGGUUCCCAAAACCCACGGCAUUGGCAGAUUCCCAACCCCCAUUCUCAAUCAAUUGAGGGCAUUGAUCAUUGGCAUGUCCUUGCAUCGAGCACACGCCACACACACUUGGUCCAUGAAUCUUCAUUCCCUCGGCCAACUGAAAAACAAUAGAAGUAAGGUUAGCUAAUUGGGAUUGAAUCUCGGGCAUAGAACUUACCUCAUUCACUUGUGGCCGUGGGGGGUCCCUUUGUCCAACACCUUCGUAUUGUUGUGCAUUAUGUGCUCGGUUGGCAAUUAGAACUUUUGCAGCCCCCGGAGUUUUAUCCACCAACGCACCCCCCGCCGAGGCAUCAAGCAUUUGGCGUUCCAUGGGAAGGAGUCCUUCAUAGAAAUAUUGAAUGAGCAGCUCCUCCUUCAUUUGAUGCUGUGGACAAGAAGCAACAAGUGAUUUAAAACGUUCAUAAUAAGAAGGAAACGAUUCACCUUGGUUUUGUUGGAUGCCACUAAUCCGUUUCCUCAAGAGAAUGACUCUUGAAGUUGGGAAAAACUUCUCCAAGAAAGCUCUUUUCAUACUAUCCCAAGAUGUAACCGUUCCGGGUGCUAACUCGUAAAGCCAAUCUUUCGCCUUUUCCAAAAGUGAGAAUGGAAAGGCCUUCAUCAUCAGAAUACUCCCGUCAACAUUGAUGGGUGUCAUGCUCGAACAAACAACCUCGAACUCCUUGAGAUGCUUGUUGGGAUCUUCCAUGGAAAGCCCAUGGUAUUUCGGAAUGUGGUGCAACAAGAACAUAAAAACAUAAUGUAGAACACUAAACUAGACUCAAUUAAUGCAAAACUAGAGUUUAAAACACUUAAAUCAACCAAAAACUCAAAACAGCAACUAAAAGACUCAAAACUGCCUUAAAACCACUUUCUGGGCAGUUUUGAGUACCUAACACUAAUUUGGACGAAAUUGGACUAUAACUUGACUCAAAGCACUUAAAAACACAAACUAAAUUGAUUUCUAACUAAUCUAACACUUUAAAAUCAAUGGGGGAAUGAUUUUGACGAAAAUUGAAACUUUAAAACUUAAACUUUGAAAACAAACUUAAAGCAAAACAUAUUGUGAUGAAAUAGAAUGGUGAGAAACUAGUUAGAGGGUUCCUUAUCCACACAUGAACAUAUGCAUACAACUCAAUCUCCAAUUACUCUUUCAACAAACCAUGAAUGACAAUGCCCCAAAUUAACUAGAUUGCACCAAUUAAUUCUCAGAUUUCCCUAGAUUCAUUGAAUUGAAUGGAAUACGCAUUACAACCAAAUUAUUCUUAUCAAGGACCCUAACUAUGGAAUACGCAUGAUAGAGACACAUAUCAAAGAUCAUUAAGUUUAAUGGAAAUCAUAAGCAUUGACGAGGCAUUCAUAACUAUGGGAUACGCAUGUUACUCUUGCCUAGGAUUUACUUAACACAAUCGUGACUAGCGACUUUCACCACUUAUGAAUUUAAGUUAAUAACGAUUAGGUGAAAUUCCCUUAUACCCUAGCAUCAAGUUUAAGCAUGCAAAUUAAGUGUCGACCCUCAACCCACAUACAUAAACAAGUUAUCAAUCAAAUAGAUAAGUAAAUCACAUUCACAAUUUCUGAAAUCAUAAUUGGAAGAAAUCAAAUCAUAUAAAACAUAUGUCCAUGGCUUCAAAUUCACCUCUAACUAAAAAGAAAUUAGUUCCACAUGUCUAACAUAAUUGAACGACAAUUUAAAUUAAACAUGAAAACAGAAACAAAGAAAGAAAGAACUCCAAACACUCCACUAAUGGCAGAUUGCAUGUGCAAGGCUUCUCCUUCCUUUGGACUGCACGGCACUCCUUCUUUCUCCUCCUUUAGUGGCUGCACAAGGUGGAUGAAUGGUUAUGGAAGGAUGUAGGAAUGGUUUGGGGAAGAGGAUGGUGCGGCAAGGUUGAAUUUGGGCAGAAAGUUGGGAGUUUGGGGAUGGAAGGCUGCGGCAAGGUGGGAAAUAGGGUGUUGGACGAAUUUCUGAAUAUGGAGAGGGUGAUAGAUUCGGCCAAGAGGUUUCAGAGAGUAUAUAUAGGCACUUAAACCCUAGCAAUCAGAUUAGGGUUUCUAGAAACCCAAAUCCACCAGAAAAUAGGUUAAAACAAUCAGAAUUUGCAAGGGAAAAGGCCUAGGGUUCGGCUGGUUUAGUGGGCUAGGGUUUAGGCUUCUAGAAUGCCUUGCAAGGCAAGGAAAUCAGAAAUUUUAAAGGCCUAGGUGCGGCAAAUUAGUGGGCUAGGGUUAGGGUUUGUAGAUAGGGCUUCUAGAAAGCCCAAAACCAAGAAUAGAAACUCUCGAAAACGGAAACCUCCAAGAAUAGAAACUUCCAACUUUAGAAACUUUGGUUUCUAAUUCUGAAUUCUUUGUUC
rnacentral:lncRNA from 1 species